rnacentral:rRNA from 1 species
CGGCGCGCCUAACACAUGCAAGUCGAACGAGCGAGAGAGAGCUUGCUUUCUCGAGCGAGUGGCGAACGGGUGAGUAACGCGUGAGGAACCUGCCUCAAAGAGGGGGACAACAGUUGGAAACGACUGCUAAUACCGCAUAAGCCCACGGGUCGGCAUCGACCAGAGGGAAAAGGAGCAAUCCGCUUUGAGAUGGCCUCGCGUCCGAUUAGCUAGUUGGUGAGGUAAUGGCCCACCAAGGCGACGAUCGGUAGCCGGACUGAGAGGUUGAACGGCCACAUUGGGACUGAGACACGGCCCAGACUCCUACGGGAGGCAGCAGUGGGGAAUAUUGCACAAUGGGGGAAACCCUGAUGCAGCGACGCCGCGUGGAGGAAGAAGGUCUUCGGAUUGUAAACUCCUGUUGUUGGGGAAGAUAAUGACGGUACCCAACAAGGAAGUGACGGCUAACUACGUGCCAGCAGCCGCGGUAAAACGUAGGUCACAAGCGUUGUCCGGAAUUACUGGGUGUAAAGGGAGCGCAGGCGGGAAGACAAGUUGGAAGUGAAAUCUAUGGGCUCAACCCAUAAACUGCUUUCAAAACUGUUUUUCUUGAGUAGUGCAGAGGUAGGCGGAAUUCCCGGUGUAGCGGUGGAAUGCGUAGAUAUCGGGAGGAACACCAGUGGCGAAGGCGGCCUACUGGGCACCAACUGACGCUGAGGCUCGAAAGUGUGGGUAGCAAACAGGAUUAGAUACCCUGGUAGUCCACACCGUAAACGAUGAUUACUAGGUGUUGGAGGAUUGACCCCUUCAGUGCCGCAGUUAACACAAUAAGUAAUCCACCUGGGGAGUACGACCGCAAGGUUGAAACUCAAAGGAAUUGACGGGGGCCCGCACAAGCAGUGGAGUAUGUGGUUUAAUUCGACGCAACGCGAAGAACCUUACCAAGUCUUGACAUCCCUUGACAGGCAUAGAAAUAUGUUUUCUCUUCGGAGCAAGGAGACAGGUGGUGCAUGGUUGUCGUCAGCUCGUGUCGUGAGAUGUUGGGUUAAGUCCCGCAACGAGCGCAACCCUUAUGGUCAGUUACUACGCAAGAGGACUCUGGCCAGACUGCCGUUGACAAAACGGAGGAAGGUGGGGAUGACGUCAAAUCAUCAUGCCCUUUAUGACUUGGGCUACACACGUACUACAAUGGCGUUAAACAAAGAGAAGCAAGACCGCGAGGUGGAGCAAAACUCAGAAACAACGUCCCAGUUCGGACUGCAGGCUGCAACUCGCCUGCACGAAGUCGGAAUUGCUAGUAAUCGUGGAUCAGCAUGCCACGGUGAAUACGUUCCCGGGCCUUGUACACACCGCCCGUCAA